UACGAAGGGGGCUAGCGUUGCUCGGAAUUACUGGGCGUAAAGCGCACGUAGGCGGCUCUUUAAGUCGGGGGUGAAAUCCUGGAGCUCAACUCCAGAACUGCCUUCGAUACUGGAGAGCUUGAGUCCGGGAGAGGUGAGUGGAACUGCGAGUGUAGAGGUGAAAUUCGUAGAUAUUCGCAAGAACACCAGUGGCGAAGGCGGCUCACUGGCCCGUACUGACGCUGAGGUGCGAAAGCGUGGGGAGCAAACAGG
rnacentral:rRNA from 1 species